rnacentral:rRNA from 1 species
UAGGAUUUGCUCGCNAGAGAACCGGAACACNAGGUGCUGUAUGGCUGUCGUCAGCUCGAUGUCGUGAGAUGUUGGGUUAAGUCCCGCAACGAGCGCAACCCUUGUCAUUAGUUGCUACGAAAGGGCACUCUAAUGAGACUGCCGGUGACAAACCGGAGGAAGGUGGGGAUGACGUCAAGUCCUCAUGGCCCUUAUGGGUAGGGCUUCACACGUCAUACAAUGGUCGGGACAGAGGGUCGCCAACCCGCGAGGGGGAGCCAAUCCCAGUAAACCCGAUCGUAGUCCGGAUCGCAGUCUGCAACUCGACUGCGUGAAGUCGGAAUCGCUAGUAAUCGCGGAUCAGCAUGUCGCGGUGAAUACGUUCCCGGGUCUUGU